ACGCACGCUGGCGGCGUGCCUAAUCCCUGCCAGUCGCACGCUUCUUUCCUCCCGAGUGCUUGCACUCAAUUGGAAAGAGGAGUGGCGGACGGGUGAGUAACACGUGGGUAACCUACCCAUCAGAGGGGGAUAACACUUGGAAACAGGUGCUAAUACCGCAUAACAGUUUAUGCCGCAUGGCAUAAGAGUGAAAGGCGCUUUCGGGUGUCGUUGAUGGAUGGACCCGCGGUGCAUUAGCUAGUUGGUGAGGUAACGGCUCACCAAGGCCACGAUGCAUAGCCGACCUGAGAGGGUGAUCGGCCACACUGGGACUGAGACACGGCCCAGACUCCUACGGGAGGCAGCAGUAGGGAAUCUUCGGCAAUGGACGAAAGUCUGACCGAGCAACGCCGCGUGAGUGAAGAAGGUUUUCGGAUCGUAAAACUCUGUUGUUAGAGAAGAACAAGGACGUUAGUAACUGAACGUCCCCUGACGGUAUCUAACCAGAAAGCCACGGCUAACUACGUG
rnacentral:rRNA from 1 species